rnacentral:rRNA from 1 species
AUUGAACGCUGGCGGAAUGCUUUACACAUGCAAGUCGAACGGCAGCACGGGUGCUUGCACCUGGUGGCGAGUGGCGAACGGGUGAGUAAUGUAUCGGAACGUAUCCAAUAAUGGGGGAUAACGAGUCGAAAGAUUCGCUAAUACCGCAUACGCCCUACGGGGGAAAGCAGGGGAUCUUCGGACCUUGCGUUAAUGGAGCGGCCGAUAUCUGAUUAGCUAGUUGGUGGGGUAAAAGCUCACCAAGGCGACGAUCAGUAGCUGGUCUGAGAGGACGACCAGCCACACUGGAACUGAGACACGGUCCAGACUCCUACGGGAGGCUG